CGGGGCGUGGCGCAGUUGGUAGCGUACUUGCAUGGGGUGCAAGGGGUCGCGAGUUCGAGUCUCGCCGCUCCGA
rnacentral:tRNA from 1 species